rnacentral:rRNA from 1 species
GAUGAACGCUGGCGGCGUGCCUAAUACAUGCAAGUCGAGCGAACAGACGAGGAGCUUGCUCCUCUGACGUUAGCGGCGGACGGGUGAGUAACACGUGGAUAACCUACCUAUAAGACUGGGAUAACUUCGGGAAACCGGAGCUAAUACCGGAUAAUAUAUUGAACCGCAUGGUUCAAUAGUGAAAGACGGUUUUGCUGUCACUUAUAGAUGGAUCCGCGCCGCAUUAGCUAGUUGGUAAGGUAACGGCUUACCAAGGCGACGAUGCGUAGCCGACCUGAGAGGGUGAUCGGCCACACUGGAACUGAGACACGGUCCAGACUCCUACGGGAGGCAGCAGUAGGGAAUCUUCCGCAAUGGGCGAAGGCCUGACGGAGCAACGCCGCGUGAGUGAUGAAGGUCUUCGGAUUGUAAAACUCUGUUAUUAGGGAAGAACAAAUGUGUAAGUAACUAUGCACGUCUUGACGGUACCUAAUCAGAAAGCCACGGCUAACUACGUG